rnacentral:lncRNA from 1 species
AUACGCACUAUAUGAAAAUAUAUAUUAUUUGAAGGGCAGAAAGAAAUAUAAACUCACAGAAGCUUCCCUAGGUAUCAAGCGACAGUUCUGAAAAUGGGCAAAAAGAUACGAGAUGAGGAGGGGAGGUUACUUAGUGUUCACUUAACAUGUAGAAACAGCGAGAACUAAAGAGUCCAUUGAGUGCUUUCUGCAACAGAACAAUGUAGCAUUCUAGACGCUGUGACAUCAUUUUUUAAAAAUAGCUGCUUUCACCAACAGAUAGCAGUUUAUAAUGAAAACGUUUUUUCAUUUCUUUUGGGAAGAGGGAGAGGAGAGUUGGGGGAAGAGGAAGACUAGUGACUAUGUGAGAUAAAUGUGCCAAUUGUCCCCCCGUCUCCAUGUAAAUAGAAAUGUAACUGGCACGGAGCUGCAGAGUCACGUGCACAUUCUCUCAUGAAAAUAUUAAGCCAAUAGUUCAUUCGAUUGUUUGGCUUUAUGACGAUUUCAGGUUGUGAGCACUUAGAAAUGUAUGCAGGCUGCAGGCAACAGAGAUUCCAACUCCAGCUACCAGGGAGUUUGCAAACGCAAGUAUUUGUAGUCGAUGAUACACCCCUAAACAAAGCUGGGGUAUUGCUGGCAAGGAAGAAACAGAGAUUUGGAUUGGGUAAGAAACUAGCAGAGUCUGUUGAAGUGAAUGAGUCAAGGAAAGAAAAAUCAUUCCUACAGUUCUCGAUUCAAUCCCUCUCUCCCACUGUCUUUCCUUGGUACCUUAAAAAACAGUGGUGAGCUGGUCAAUAUUUCACACGUGGCUCUCUGGAGGGACAAGUUUGAUUUCUUAUUUUUGCCAGUUUCUGUGGUGGAAAUAUUCCCAUCAUGAUGGGUUUCAAGCUCCUGACCUGGUGUUACCCAUUGUGCAUGGUGCGUGGGAGAGGCACCCAAUGUUACACCAUCACAGAGCAUUUCCACCAGACAGAUACAAUAGGAGUUGGUCACCUCAAGAUUAUGGAAAACAGUACAAUGUUGGACCAGUCAGCUUGGGCUACCAUAAC